UACGAAGGGGGGCUAGCGUUGUUCGGAAUUACUGGGCGUAAAGCGCGUGUAGGCGGGUCUUUAAGUCAGGGGUGAAAUGCCAAGGCUCAACCUUGGAACUGCCUUUGAUACUGGAGAUCUUGAGUCCGGGAGAGGUGAGUGGAAUUGCGAGUGUAGAGGUGAAAUUCGUAGAUAUUCGCAAGAACACCAGUGGCGAAGGCGGACUCACUGGCCCGGAACUCGACGCUGAGACGCGA
rnacentral:rRNA from 1 species